UGAGGGGACUUAACUUCGUCGUAGCUACUGGAAAGGUGAGAAUACAUCAAUCUUACAAUGACUUCAUGAUCACUAUACUAAUUUUUGGACCAUUCAAUUAUGUCUUUUAUUAUGUUCUGUUAGUUGUUCUUCUUUGAAAUGUUUUGGAGAUGGGAUAUGAUCAAAAAUCUUGAAUACGACUGAUCUAACUGGAUGCGGUGGCAUUAUCUCAAAGUCCUCUCCAUGCCUUUUCGUUCAGAGUGGAAAGAAGUGUAUAAAGGAAACUUGGACCCAGAUGUCUCCAGAGAGGUAAAUCCACAUAAGAUCUCACACCCCCGGCCAAGUUCACAACAU